AUGUCGCAGAGUUUGAUCCUGGCUCAGGACGAACGCUGGCGGCAUGCCUAAUACAUGCAAGUCGAGCGGAACGUCGGGAGCUUGCUCCCUUCGUUUAGCGGCGGACGGGUGAGUAACACGUGGGCAACCUGCCCUGCAGAUCGGGAUAACUCCGGGAAACCGGUGCUAAUACCGAAUAGUUUUUUGCCCCUCCUGGGGCAAAACGGAAAGACGGUUUCGGCUGUCACUGCAGGAUGGGCCCGCGGCGCAUUAGCUAGUUGGUGGGGUAACGGCCUACCAAGGCGACGAUGCGUAGCCGACCUGAGAGGGUGAUCGGCCACACUGGGACUGAGACACGGCCCAGACUCCUACGGGAGGCAGCAGUAGGGAAUCUUCCGCAAUGGACGAAAGUCUGACGGAGCAAUGCCGCGUGAGUGACGAAGGUUUUCGGAUCGUAAAACUCUGUUGUAAGGGAAGAACAAGUACCAAGUAACUACUGGUACCUUGACGGUACCUUACCAGAAAGCCACGGCUAACUACGUGCCAGCAGCCGCGGUAAUACGUANGUGGCAAGCGUUGUCCGGAAUUAUUGGGCGUAAAGCGCGCCGCAGGCCGGUCCCUUAAGUCUGAUGUGAAACCCACGGUUAACCCGUGGA
rnacentral:rRNA from 1 species